AUUGAACGCUGGCGGCAUGCCUAACACAUGCAAGUCGAACGCGAAAGAGGGGCAACUCUCGAGUAAAGUGGCGGACGGGUGAGUAAUACGUAGGAAUCUGCCCUAGAGUGGGGGAUAACCUGCCGAAAGGCGGGCUAAUACCGCAUAAUCUCUACGGAGAAAAGGUGUCCUGUAUUUAUACAGGAUUUCGCUUUAGGAUGAGCCUACGUCGGAUUAGCUAGUUGGUAGGGUAAUGGCCUACCAAGGCGACAAUCCGUAGCUGGUCUGAGAGGACGAUCAGCCACACUGGAACUGAGACACGGUCCAGACUCCUACGGGUGGCUG
rnacentral:rRNA from 1 species